CGGACGGGUGAGUAAUGCUUGGGAAUCUGGCUUAUGGAGGGGGAUAACUACGGGAAACUGUAGCUAAUACCGCGUAAUAUCUUCGGAUUAAAGGGUGGGACUUUCGGGCCACCUGCCAUAAGAUGAGCCCAAGUGGGAUUAGGUAGUUGGUGGGGUAAAGGCCUACCAAGCCGACGAUCUCUAGCUGGUCUGAGAGGAUGACCAGCCACACUGGAACUGAGACACGGUCCAGACUCCUACGGGAGGCAGCAGUGGGGAAUAUUGCACAAUGGGGAGAACCCUGAUGCAGCCAUGCCGCGUGAAUGAAGAAGGCCUUCGGGUUGUAAAGUUCUUUCGGUGAUGAGGAAGGUGUUUGUUUUAAUAGAGCAAGCAAUUGACGUUAGUCACAGAAGAAGCACCGGCUAACUCCGUGCCAGCAGCCGCGGUAAUACGGAGGGUGCGAGCGUUAAUCGGAAUGACUGGGCGUAAAGGGCACGCAGGCGGUGACUUAAGUGAGAUGUGAAAGCCCCGAGCUUAACUUGGGAAUUGCAUUUCAUACUGGGUCGCUAGAGUACUUUAGGGAGGGGUAGAAUUCCACGUGUAGCGGUGAAAUGCGUAGAGAUGUGGAGGAAUACCGAAGGCGAAGGCAGCCCCUUGGGAAUGUACUGACGCUCAUGUGCGAAAGCGUGGGGAGCAAACAGGAUUAGAUACCCUGGUAGUCCACGCUGUAAACGCUGUCGAUUUGGGGAUUGGGCUUUAAGCUUGGUGCCCGUAGCUAACGUGAUAAAUCGACCGCCCUGGGGAG
rnacentral:rRNA from 1 species